UACGGAGGGAGCUAGCGUUGUUCGGAAUUACUGGGCGUAAAGCGCACGUAGGCGGCUAUUCAAGUCGGGGGUGAAAGCCCGGGGCUCAACCCCGGAACUGCCCUCGAAACUAGAUAGCUAGAAUCUUGGAGAGGCGAGUGGAAUUCCGAAGUGUAGAGGUGAAAUUCGUAGAUAUUCGGAAGAAACACCAGUGGCGAAGGCGACUCGCUGGACAAGUAUUGACGCUGAGGUGCGAAAGCGUGGGGAGCAAACAGG
rnacentral:rRNA from 1 species